rnacentral:rRNA from 1 species
AUGCAGCAGCUUCUUCCCAGUUUCCCUUUCAGUUGUAAUAAAACAGAGAAACACUCAUGUUCCUCCUGUAGGCUUGGCAAGCACACGCGCCUCCCGUUCUCUGAAUCUUUUUCAGUUUCUAGUUUCCCUUUUGAACUACUCCAUUGUGACGUCUGGACAUCUCCAAUAAAGAGCAAUUCUGGUUUUGAGUAUUACUUGGUGUUGCUUGAUGAUUUUUCUCACUUCGUCUGGACUUUCCCUCUCCGCCGUAAAUCUGACGUGAUCACCGUACUCACCUCGUUUUUUGCCUUUGUGCAUACUCAGUUUCGUCACUCCAUCCUCGGGCUUCAAACAGAUAACAGCAGGGAAUUUGACAACCAGGGCGUCCACACGCUGCUCGCCGCGCACGGCUCCAUCCUACGCCUCACUUGCCCGUACACGUCGCAGCAGAACGGGCGCGCCGAGUGCGUGCUCCGCACAAUCAACGACGGCGUCCGCACUCUGCUUCUCCAUGCCGGCGCCCUUCCACGGUUCUGGGCCGAGGCCCUCGCCACGUCCACGCGCCUUCUCAACAUGCGCCCUGUCAUCCCCGUGGUAAUUUUUUCCCCUACCAUCUUCUUUUCGGCCAUCCACCCUCCUUUGCCGAUCUCCGCGUCUUCGGAUGUAGCUGCUACCCCAACGUCCUGGCCACCGCUCCUCACAAGCUCGCCCCGCGGUCUCUUCCAUGUAUCUUCCUCGGAUAUCCGGCAAACACAAAAGGGUACCGCUGUUACGAUCCGGAGUCCAACCGCGUGA